rnacentral:rRNA from 1 species
AUUGAACGCUGGCGGCAGGCCUAACACAUGCAAGUCGAACGAGUGGCGGACGGGUGAGUAAUGUCUGGGAACCUGGCUGAUGGAGGGGGAAAACUACUGGAAACGGUAGCUAAUACCGCAUACCAUCGGAUGUGCCCAGAUGGGAUUAGCUAGUCGGUGGGGUAAAGGCGAACCUAGGCGACGAUCCCUAGCUGGUCUGAGAGGAUGACCAGCCACACUGGAACUGAGACACGGUCCAGACUCCUACGGGAGGCAGCAGUAGGGAAUAUUGCACAAUGGGCGCAAGCCUGAUGCAGCCAUGCCGCGUGGAUGAAGAAGGCCUUCGGGUUGUAAAGUACUUUCAGCGGGGAGGCGUUACCCGCAGAGAAAGCACCGGCUAACUCCGUGCCAGCCGCCGCGGUAAUAC